rnacentral:rRNA from 1 species
AUUGAACGCUGGCGGCAGGCCUAACACAUGCAAGUCGAGCGGAUGAAGGGAGCUUGCUCCUGGAUUCAGCGGCGGACGGGUGAGUAAUGCCUAGGAAUCUGCCUGGUAGUGGGGGAUAACGUCCGGAAACGGGCGCUAAUACCGCAUACGUCCUGAGGGAGAAAGUGGGGGAUCUUCGGACCUCACGCUAUCAGAUGAGCCUAGGUCGGAUUAGCUAGUUGGUGGGGUAAAGGCCUACCAAGGCGACGAUCCGUAACUGGUCUGAGAGGAUGAUCAGUCACACUGGGACUGAGACACGGUCCAGACUCCUACGGGAGGCAGCAGUGGGGAAUCUUGGACGUCGGGCGAACGCCUGGUCCAGCCAUGCCGCGUGUGUGCAGAAGGUCUUCGGAUUCUAAAGCACUUUAAGUUGGGACGAAGGGCAGUAAGUUCAUACCUUGCUGUUUUGACGUUACCCACAGAAUAAGCACCGGCUAACUUCGUG